UGCCACUCGAAGAUCUGAAGAUCACCAGU
rnacentral:piRNA from 1 species